rnacentral:rRNA from 1 species
AACGCUGGCGGCGCGCUUAACACAUGCAAGUCGAGCGAGAACCAGGGCUUCGGCUCUGGGGACAGCGGCGAACGGGUGAGUAACACGUGGGUAAUCUGCCCUCGGCAUCGGGAUAGCCCGGGGAAACCCGGAUUAAUACCGAAUAGCCUCCGGAGCCUUCGGGCGUCGGAGAAAAGGUAGCUUCGUCCUCUGGCCGAGGAUGAGCCCGCGGCGGAUUAGCCCGUUGGCGGGGUAACGGCCCACCAAGGCGACGAUCCGUAGCUGGUCUGAGAGGACGAUCAGCCACGCUGGGACUGAGACACGGCCCAGACUCCUACGGGAGGCAGCAGUGGGGAAUCUUGCGCUAAUGCGGGAAACCGUGACGCAGCGACGCCGCGUGAGGGAAGAAGGCCUUCGGGUUGUAAACCUCUUUCAGGAGGGACGAAGCUACUCGGGUUAAUAGCCCAGAGGGUGACGGUACCUCCAGAAGAAGCCCCGGCUAACUACGUGCCAGCAGCCGCGGUAAGAC